AUGUAAGAAAAGAAGGCGGUAUUGAAUAAUUGCAUUGCUCCUUGGUUAUGUUAUAAAUAAAUCUAGUUUUUUUUUUUUGUGAUUAGUAGUUUGAAUGUAAAAAGAAACCAUGUCGGGUUUUAGUUUUGGGAAUACAGGGUUAGGAACAGGCUCAUCAUUUUCUUUUGGAUCAAGUCAGCCGGUGACCACGGCUUCCACCGGAGGACUGUUCGGGACGCCCACCACCGCACCCACGUUUGGUUCCGGUGCGACGCCGUUGUUCGGGUCAGCUGCGACUUCUCAGCCCUCCGGCGGGCUGGCCUUGAACGCAGGUCAGACUCCGGCGCUGACCUUCGGGGCCCCGGCAUCCACCGCAGCCAGCGGACUGAGCUUCAAUGCCCCGCAGCCCACUAACUUCCAGUUCUCGGCACCCACGACCACCACAGGGCUGUCGUUCGGCCCACCUGCCAGCACGGCCCCCGCCGGGUUCGCAAUGCCGGCCACGGGUCUCACGUUUGGGACACCGGCGACCUCGGCGAGCGGUGGGAUCAGGUUUGGCACUCCUGCUCAGGCAACAACUGCCACUCCCACCCCCGGGACGCUGAACCUGGGAGCUGGAAGCACGGGAGGAGGCCUGUUCGGGGCCCCUGCUGCUACCUCUGCGUCCGGGAUCUCACUCGGUUUCGGCACCACCCAGGCAGCAGCAUCAACGGCUCUUUCAGGGCUGACGUUUGGCUCCACCACGCCAGCCACGAGUGGAGCCGCCCUCUCCUUCCAGGGCCUGGGCGCAGGGAAGCCCCUUGGGGGCUCCUUGUUCUCCACACCCACCACGUCCGCCGGACUCAGCUUGGGCACCGCCAGCACCACAGCGGGGCUCGGUCUGGGUGCCACCAGCACUGCCCCCAGGCUCAGUCUGGGUGCCACCAGUACUGCCCCCGGGCUUGGUCUGGGCACCACCAGCACUGCCCCCGGACUCGGUCUGGGGACCACCACCACUGCCCCCGGGUUAGGUCUGGGCACCACCAGUACUGCCCCCGGGUUAGGUCUGGGCACCACCAGUACUGCCCCCGGACUGGGUCUGGGCGCCACCAGCACUGCCCCCGCACUCGGUCUAGGCACCACCAGCACGUCCAUCGGGUUUGGACUGGGUUCCACCAGUACGUCUGGCGGCUUUGGCUUGUUCGGCCAGACGUCGAAGCCCGCUGCUAGCGUUGCAGCCCUUGGGACGGCUCCAGCCACCACCAUAGCAUCCGUCGGCCUGGGAGGUGUUGAAGCAAAGUCGGGCUUGGCUGGAGUUGGCAAUCAGCGUCAAGAGAGUAAAGCUGUUAAAGAAAAUGAAAUCCCGGUUGAAAUAAUUCAAACCAUAGAUGCUUUCAAGAACUUCGUGAAGGUGCAGAAGGGCCUGAGCUCGGAGGUAGCGCGCGGCUCCGCGCAGCCUCUGCACAAGGUGGAGGAGGACAUAGAGGCGAUGAAGAAGGUGCUGUCGAGCCUCGGCGCGGACCUCCGGAGGCACACGGCCCUCGCAGACAACCUCAAGUAUGACACGGCCAAGUGCCUGCAGAAUGCGGAGAUGGCGCAGCGCACCCAGGACAUGUCCCCAGAGCUGCAGUACAACAACACGGCGCCACAGCAGUACUUCGAGGAGCUGGUGUCCAGGUUUGAGGACGAGGUCGCCAGGUUCACGGUCGCUAUCGACGAGGCGGAGAAGCACCUGCACUCCCUGGCCCAGCCCCGCGCUCUCUCCCCGGACGAGCUGACGUCGGCGAUGCAGCGCAUCCACCACACGUUCGUGUUCCUGGCUGGACGUCUCCAGGCCGUGCACAACUCGGUGGAGAUGCAGAAGCAGCAGUACCUGAACCUGCGCAAGUACUUCCUCAAGGACGCCACCAACGUGUUCGACCAGCAGCCGCUCGAGACGUCGGCCGGACCCCAGCGGCCCCGGUCCGCCGCGGCCACCCUGCCCGGGCCGUCGCCGUUCUCGGGUGUCGGCAGCCAGAUGGGCUUUGGGCUUAUGUUCUCGACGGCCUCUGACACUCCGUCCACUCUGCCAUCGACUAACCCCUUAGGUAAAUAGUGGUAACUUGGUAAGCGUGGUUCAAAGGACCAAACCUAGUAGUGUCUAGUUUGUGGUUUCUGUUCUCGGCAUGUUCGGCUUUUUAGAGGUCAGCAUGCGGUUGGUUGUGAGUUCGUUGCUGAAACUGAAGUCCUGCCAUUAUUUCUGCGGCUUUUUUUUUUCACCCCUUCAGUUUUACUGUGGAAAGUAUAAUUUAUAAACUUGUAUAAAUAUGUAUUAUGCUUUGUACCCAACUCGCUACUUUCCUGCCAUGUGUUUUAAAUAAUAGUAACGUUGCAGACAUGCAUAGAAACAAAUUACAGCAAGAAUGAGCUUACGACUGGUACAAGCAUCUAAAGCUAUUUGAUCUGUUGCAAUAUAUGUUGUUUUGAUGCAGGAAGGUAAAUGAAAUUAAAAUUUAAUUGUAAUUUUUGCCACAGACAUUAUCUUAUCAUAUUUUCAUUAUUCAUUUACUGCUGCUUUACUUAAUGAAACAUCCGAGCCAAGUCAUUUGUUGAUUUUUUUUUUGUGCAAAUCUGUUUAACAGCUUUAAUUAGACUAGAUCGUUUUUAAAAAUAAUUCUUAGAAUAUUUGCUUAAGUAAUCACUUCAGUAAUCGUGACUAUUUCUGUGUCCCUUUUUUGUUGCAUAGUACAGCAAGUCCUCGAUUAUCACACAUUUUACGUUCCCAAAAAUUGUUCGUUAAUUAUUAAUCACGUUUCCCCAUAAGGAACAAUGUAAUGUUCUGGGUUAUGUCUUCCACAAAUUUUGCAUCAUUUCUCAAAAAUGGUGAACUAUAAAGAAAUCAUUAACAAAAUUAAGUUGGCAACUGUAGUAAAAUUCGUUUAAGAUUUUUUUAAUGGACUGUCUAUACACAGGCUAUUCAAGAAGUACCAACCCUCACAAUUCAUAACUGGUGCAUUAUAACAAAUAUCCGCAUUAAUCGAGGACUUACUACGUUGGUUCAACUCGUAAGUUUCAAGUUUUUAAAUAUAUGUUUAAACAUUUUAUUUUUUAUUUAUGGCUAUUCAUUUUUUUUAAUGAGUGUUUUAGGUGGGCUUUUUUUAUUAUUAGUUGCAUGUUCUGCAUCUUACAAAAGUUACUAAAUAGUGAUUGAAUUUCAUUACUAUUUUUGUGAUUCCUUCUCACAUGUGUUUUGAAUGAAUAGGAAUAGAAAUUUAUGUAAUUUAUUAACUCAAUUUUACAGAAGAUUAUAAAGUAAUGAAAUAUUUUUUUAUGAAAUGGUUAGUAAAAAAAUUUGUCAAUUAUAAAUAUGUACAUACCAAUAAAUGAAUUGUUACCGUAUUAUGUUAUUUUUCAAGGAAGCAAUAGAUAUAAUUUCAUAAUGGCAAAUUUUACAAGCCAGCAUUCCUUUUACAUAAAAAAAAUGUGUUUUUAUGAACAAAAUAAAGAAAAUCGCCCAAAUUACCCAGUUUAUGAACAUGUAUCUGUAAUAGGGCUGUUCAAAUACCAACUAUUGGUCAUACUAUAUUAAAAAUUGGCACAACAUUUUUUUGAUAACGGUAUUGGAGAAUUUUAUUACAUGUAUUUUAUUUUUAAAUCUAAAUUCAAAGUAAGUUUAUUGAAAAAUUGUGUGUAUCAUCAUUUAUCUUCACUUAAGAUUUGCCUUUAAAGCAUAGUUAAAUUCAUUCUAAGAAGAUAAAUAUAUGUACUUUUAAACCUAUAACAAAUAAACAUAACAUUCUGUGUACUGUGCAACCGCACAUCCAAAAAAUGUGGUUCAGUUUGCGCUGUUUUGAAGUAAUGACGCGAACAAAUUACAGCAUUAUUUGAAGUAGCGAAGUCAUAGAUUCAAAGGAGUGCUUUUUUCCUUUUACGUGAAUUUUAUUUCCGUGUCCUUACAAUGACAACAGCACUUGUGUAGCAUUGAAUACAUUGAAACAAAUCAAUGUGACGAAUCAACAAUAGGGGUGCGAUGCUUGCGUUGUGAGGGGGGGAAAUGGAGGGAUAGUUACUUGCAGCAAGCAGCCGUGCCGCUGGCUAGCGUACACGUGAGGAGCUUCAAGCAAUGUUGCGCGAUAGAAUCGGCCAGCGAACCUUUACGUAAAUACCCAAUCUCUAUCAGUAGGGCCAAUGAAAAAUGGUAAAUAAAAAAGGCCCAUUUCGGUGAAUAAAAAGAGUUAUUUCGGUGCCAAAUUUCGGUGGAAAAAAAAUUGUUUAGUUAGAAAAAAUAACUAUUUCGUCAUUAUAAUUUUAUACACAUGUAUAUGUUUGAUGGAAUAAUUGUUUUAUUUGGUCGAAAUUUAUCAAAAACAAUGUUUUGAAGUACAUUCACAUCUAAAAUUUAGCACGCUGCAUUUGUAAUUAAAAUUCUCAAGAUUACAUACAAAAAAAUUGGAAACUGAUCAUAAACGUUAGUGGCUCAAGUCCAUUUUGACUACCUAUCUCUGAAAAUCAGCUAUUAUAUGUUUCCUGCAAACUAGUCCCCACCAAAACACUGUACUUAUUCAACAGUACAGAGUAUUUUUUUUUUUUGUUUACUUUUUCACCGCCUCAACUGCGUGUGCGGUAUUUGUUCAUGUAUAUGUUGGCACUCUUGGCCGGCAUUUAUUUUCGUGCAUUGCCGUGACAACUACGAAAAUAAAUAGUCGCCUCGGCUAGGACGCCCAAAUACAACAAUUAACAUUUUGAAAGUUAUGAUUUGAUUGGCUAAUGUGGAAGUGACGCUAUUUUUCUGGACUGCGUUUGGCCGAUUCAGAGAAAGGAACAAAGAUUGAGUUAAGGCCUAUCGACGAUUGCGUCACCAGACGCAUUUGCUGUCGGCAAAAUAAUGUCAUUUUUGCCGUUUUAUGGCCUUCUACGUCUCGUAGGAACGUGUGCGACGACGGAGACUGAGUAGGCGUACGUCUGGAUGUAAUAAUUUUCAUUUGUGAAAUAUAUGGUUCUAGAGUAACUUGACGCUUAGUUCCAGAACCCGAUGCUUUGUUCACCUUGUGCGAUGCUCGAAAUUUACAGUGUUUUCACACGUGUAUUUUAUUUUCCAGUCGACUUGCACAUUACAGAACUUGCACAUCAUGAUGCCUUUUUCUUUACUGAUUACGUAAAAUCCUUCAGCUCUUUCGAAAACACAACUUUCGACAUUUUAUACGCUUAUCCAGUGACCACGGUAAUAUGACCAAAAUGACACAAAAACUUUCAACGGAAAACGAUCAUAGAUGCGGAAGAGAGACAUAUUGCAUCCACUCGGAAAUAAAGAACUUAAACUCGACAGACACGCACUCGUGAAAACAAAAUCAUAGAACAUUUCGACACUCGUAACUACCAACGCCAUCUGUGAUUUGUCCACCAGUAGCUAAAGUGAUAAUGUUUAUUGCCACGCUCUACUCUAUGGGUGCUAGAGAAAAACAAAAGCAAAGAUGGCGUCUCACAUAUAACCUCUUGGAAUAAUAAACGUUUUGUGCAAGUUCCAGAAUGAUUCAACGUGAUUUUUCGCGAUAAAAAAGGUUAAUUUCGCGCGAAUAUCGCAAUUUCGUCAUAUUUCGUGAAAAACUACGGAUUUCGCGCAUCACAGCAAAUUUCGUUAAAACGAAAUGCAGUAUAUUAACGUCUUAUCACUACCAAGUAAGGUUAUUUGUAUUACACAUCAUGUGCAAGUGAUUUUUUUAAAAUUUCGCGAUUUCGUCAUUAACGAAAUUUGACUACCCCUAUCUAUCAGUAAAGUAUGAGUCAUUGAUAAACCUAUUGGGGGGGGGGGGGUAGUUUCCAUGGAACCAGGGAAAAUAUUUUUAAAAAAAUUAGUAGAAAAUUGUAAAAAAAAAAAAAAAAAAGGAGUUUUAGACUUUUUUUUUUACAGUGUGAGCUCUAUUCUUUUGUGGAUGUCACAACUCAAGGGGUGAGGGUCAUUGAGUUUGAUCCCAACGCCUCAGCACAACUGAUAUUUAUGAGCACUGUCUGUACCUGUGUGAUUCGGAGAUCCUGUCACCUUAAGCCUGUGUGUGCGUAGUUAUUCAAAACAAAACCUUAUCAUCGUACAAAUUGGUGUUUCAUGUGGAAUUAAAGAAUACAGAUCAGAAUGCAGGAAAUUGUAAAAAAAAUUUAAGUAUGCGUGUAAUUAUGGAGGUUCCUCUGUAGUUUCUAGCGGUAUGUAGUUAAACUUGGUGAGUUUUGACCCAGUAUGGCAUUUUCUCUCCCCCUUCUGCAGACAUUUCCCGUUCUUAGCUCAUGCAUUCCUAAGCUCGAGAUUACAAUUUGUUCCUCUGUGUCAGUCCAGUGUUCAGAUUACAUUUCCACUUUGCGAACAAGUUGUGCCUGGUGUGUGUUUUUUUCACCAUUCGAUGUGCUUUGACACGUAAAAACCUGAUAGAACUCAAUUAAUUGAAAACUCUUAAAUAUUGAUUCAUUGAAGAUACUACACUGUUAAUUGAUGCCAGGAUUAUUUUCCAUCUCAAUAUUUUUUCUGUCAUUGCUAAAAUAGGGUAUGUGCCAUACUUCUAUCAGGUCAUGACUAAGUGAAAGUGAGCCUUAACAGACCCAUGGUUGGCAGUUUCCUGCUCAGCAGUAGACAUGUGGUCUAGAACUACUCAGUGUUUUAGCAGAUGCCUGCGAAAAACUGUUUAACAAAGCAAAAGCAAUGUCUACUAUUUUUUAUAUAUGUAUUAGAGAACAUUAAUCCUCGCCAUUUGUUGAGAUGCUAAGAGAAAGAUGGCUUAUAAACUAAUUUUUUAAAACAAAAUCUGAGUUCAAGAUUGUAUUGGAACCAGUGCACAUGUUUAGAAGUUGGGAGCGCUUACCUCUGUGUCUAUGCCAUUGGUACCAGGUUUUCAGUUAGAGUGGCACGCAUGAACGUUUUGAUGCAAGGGAUCUGCUUUGCAAUGAACCUACAGCUGUGUUUAGCCUUUGUUAAAAUCAGUUUUUUUUAUUAUUAUUUAUGUUUAUGUUUAAGACACUGUGAGAUUGUUAGGACUUAAAAACUCGCACACAGGUAGUCCAGUCACCUGUGUUGGUAUCAAACACAGGGCGGUGCAAGAUUAGGCCUUGUUUCAGACCGAGUGGUUAAUUAGAAAGCCAUCACUGAUGAAUAUGAUUGUUCUGUAUAAUCUCAAGUGAACUAAUUUAAUGAAUUAAUAAAUAUGUAUACACACAUUAUGUAGGUCAUAGGUAAUUAUAAUGGCCAUUAAAAUUUUUGAAAAAAAUUACUAUUGUUGGGGUUAAGGUCUGGCCACCCUAUACACUAUACAUUUAUUACAACCUAUAAACUGAAUUUAUAAUGUGCUAGCAAGGAAAUAAUGAAUAUUUUAAAUGUUUUAGAGCAUUUUUUUGAAUAACUUUCUGUAACUAUUCUAUUCUAACCUUAACAAUAACAAUACGUAGUAUUUUUGAACAAUUUUAAUAGCUUAUUUUAGUUUAUUUAUGUUUUCUUUAUUAUUUUGCUAUACUUUAUCUAUGACCUAUUUAAUGUGUGUAUACAUAACUAUAAAUUUGUGAUAUUUUACUUGAGAUUAUACAGAACAAACACUUAUGACGUCUAAACAUUCAUCAGUUUGAGCAUUUUAAAUAUUUAUUAGCUUCAGUAAUAUCCCCCAUUGAACGUAGUCAUAUAGAAUCAUAGGUGUGUUAAACAAUUUUUAUGGAAUUUGGAUGGAAACAUGGAAUGAAAAUAUGCUGAGGAAAUCCUGUUGUGGCACAUUGUUUUUCAGUUUUUAUGGUGCUUCGUUAAUUUUGUAUACUAUGGUUAUAGUAUGAAUGGGUUAAUUAUGAGAAAUUGGAAUAAUGAUUUUGACAAAUUUGUAAUUUUUACAGUAAAUUAUUUUUGAAAAAAAUUGAAUGCAAUAAUUAAAUAUUGAACUUUUUAUUUUAUAGAUUAAAAAACUCCAAAAUAUGUAGACCAGAAUGAUUCAUCGAAGCUUUAGAAAUUUGUUUUUGACAAGUGUGAAAAGUAUUAAGAUGUUUGGACGGAUUUGCCAAAUAAUUGUUCACAUUUGUAACUAUUAAGUAAUACAGAUUUUUGUAAAUCAUUAGCACACUUGGUUCAAUAAAUCACCAAUAUUUAUUUAUUACAGGUUUAGUUUUAAACAACUAUCAAAAAUGUUCUGCUCUACAUUUAAUUUAAAUGUCACUACGGUUUUGUUUUUCAAAUAAUUCUUUUUUUUAGCGGUGUUGAAAUAAGUACUAAAAUGUUAUUAAUGGUAAGAGUUGAAACAAUACUCCUCCACAAAAGAAAAUGUGAAUUAAAGUGCAAUAAUUUCAUUUGUUUCAACGGUUUAUAAUUCUGAGUUCAUCACAAGAACACUCCAGUGUGACCUUCACGAGUGAGAAUCAGCAUGGAGACCAGUCUUGAGCUUGGGAGGUUUUGGAGGUUUAGAAUAAUAAUUAUUCUCACAUGCUGGAAGUACUGUUAUGCAAGGUACAAGAUAAAAAAAAUGGCAUCAAGUACACCUAUUAUCUUUACUUGCAGUACAAGUAGUGCUUCAUUAACCACUACUUUGUCAAGUAAAACUUUUUUUAACAUGAAUUUAUCACUCAUAUAAAUGAGGCUUAUAUCAAAUUAAGCACUACUUUACAAAGCUAAAUAAUCCUCCAAUUAUGAAAUCCACUCAUAGUAAAUUAAUUUAGAUGUUGACUUGGCAAAAUAAUUUUUGGUAUUCAUACAAAAGGUGACUCAAUACAUGGUGUGACUUGGUUGUCACACCUAUAAACUGAAUAGUUUCGCCAUGCGGCCCACCACAGUUACCUACAGUUAAGUCGUGGAGAGAGUGGCCAGAUCCCUCACAUUCCACUGAGAUGGACAAGAUUCCCAGCUGUUAAACCUGUGGUGUUUCAUAUAUAGGAAGCACUGCAGAUACUGUGGGCCGGUGGCAUGCCAUUUCCCCCACCAUUCAUCGAUUCUAAUGAUAGCCAUGUAGAAUCCAUUUAUUUUACAUGUACUUGUUAAACUAUCUCGUAACUUUGUGUGAACUUGAAAUAAUCACUUGUAAAUGCUGUGAACUAGUUCAUAAUUGGCUUCUGAAGUUAUUCUUAGUGAGGUUAAUGAAAGGCACAAUCGGUGUUUGAUUUUAACGCCUGUUCACCAGCAAUGACAGGUAAAUUUUCAUCCCGACAGAUGAGGAGUGGAAGCCUGUCAUUUAGGAGACAAAACACCGCACUGUUGCUUGCUUCUCCAGCCAUUUGAGUGGCUUUGGCAACUAGGAUAGUUGAAUGGCCUUAUGCCAGAGUGAACCAUUAACCAAAUUUUUAAAAUGUGGAUUAAUAUAUGUGCAUGUUCAGUAUAUGUGCAUGUUCAGUAUUUCAUGAUCUUUCUUAUGCACAGAGAACUAUGAUCCACUUCAGUAGGGGAGUUGGUAAUGUUGUAGUUUUGUUGUGGCAUAUGGUUGGUAUACCUGUAUUUAGUCCGCCAAAGUGAACUAUAGACCACAUCAAGAUGGCAUCUAAAGGACACAGUUCAAAAAGGUCAAGAUGUAAUACUGAUACAUUUUGUUGCAGUAGUAGUGAUAGCGAAGUGAGUGAUAUCAGCAAUGGAUCAUCUGACAACUAUAUACCGAGUUUUGAGUCAGAAACACCAUCCACAGAUGCAGAAACUACACAUGUAAAGGAAUCCCCCAAAAAGAGAAGAAAAGGGAAUCCACAAAAAUGGAAGAAGAAUA